GUGGAAACACUUUUUCUUUGGUUCAGCCUUCUUCGGAACGUCCUUCUUUGGCUUGCUUUCUUUCUUCUACUUCUUUGUGGAUUUAGUUUUCUUCCAACCAGACUUUCUCUUGAAAGAAGUCUACUCUACAAUGAGAACGAUAUCCCUUAAACUCUUCAAGGUUCCCUCAGUAGUGACCAACAUGUUGACUCAUUCAGAUAUAGUACAAUCAAGUU
rnacentral:lncRNA from 1 species